UACGUAGGGGGCUAGCGUUGUCCGGAUUCAUUGGGCGUAAAGAGCUCGUAGGCGGCUUGGCAAGUCGGGUGUGAAAACUUCAGGCUCAACCUGGAGCGGCCACUCGAUACUGCCAUGGCUUGAGUCCGGUAGGGGACCACGGAAUUCCUGGUGUAGCGGUGAAAUGCGCAGAUAUCAGGAGGAACACCGGUGGCGAAGGCGGUGGUCUGGGCCGGUACUGACGCUGAGGGGCGAAAGCGUGGGGAGCGAACAGG
rnacentral:rRNA from 1 species